rnacentral:rRNA from 1 species
AGUGAACGCUGGCGGUAGGCCUAACACAUGCAAGUCGAACGGCAGCACAGUAAGAGCUUGCUCUUACGGGUGGCGAGUGGCGGACGGGUGAGGAAUACAUCGGAAUCUACUUUUUCGUGGGGGAUAACGUAGGGAAACUUACGCUAAUACCGCAUACGACCUACGGGUGAAAGCAGGGGAUCUUCGGACCUUGCGCGAUUGAAUGAGCCGAUGUCGGAUUAGCUAGUUGGCGGGGUAAAGGCCCACCAAGGCGACGAUCCGUAGCUGGUCUGAGAGGAUGAUCCGCCCCACUGGAACUGAGACACGGUCCCGACUCCUACGGGAGGCAGCAGUGGGGAAUAUUGGACAAUGGGCGCAAGCCUGAUCCAGCCAUACCGCGUGGGUGAAGAAGGCCUUCGGGUUGUAAAGCCCUUUUGUUGGGAAAGAAAAGCAGCAGGUUAAUACCCCGCUGUUCUGACGGUACCCAAAGAAUAAGCACCGGCUAACUUCGUG